rnacentral:rRNA from 1 species
GAUGAACGCUGGCGGCGUGCCUAAUACAUGCGAGUCGAGCGAACGGACGAGAAGCUUGCUUCUCUGAUGUUAGCGGCGGACGGGUGAGUAACACGUGGAUAACCUACCUAUAAGACUGGGAUAACUUCGGGAAACCGGAGCUAAUACCGGAUAAUAUUUUGAACCGCAUGGUUCAAAAGUGAAAGACGGUCUUGCUGUCACUUAUAGAUGGAUCCGCGCUGCAUUAGCUAGUUGGUAAGGUAACGGCUUACCAAGGCAACGAUGCAUAGCCGACCUGAGAGGGUGAUCGGCCACACUGGAACUGAGACACGGUCCAGACUCCUACGGGAGGCAGCAGUAGGGAAUAUUCCGCAAUGGGCGAAAGCCUGACGGAGCAACGCCGCGUGAGUGAUGAAGGUCUUCGGAUCGUAAAACUCUGUUAUUAGGGAAGAACAUAUGUGUAAGUAACUGUGCACAUCUUGACGGUACCUAAUCAGAAAGCCACGGCUAACUACGUG